GAGACCGUAGCUCAGUCGGUAGAGCAACGGACUUUUAAUCCGUAGGUCCUGGGUUCGAGCCCCAGCGGUCUCAC
rnacentral:tRNA from 1 species